rnacentral:rRNA from 1 species
CCCUUGAAGGAAAGAAAGUUUUUCGGAUCGUAAAAACUUUGUUGUUAGAGAAGAACCAGGGACGUUAGUAACUGAACGUCCCCCGGACGGUAUCUAACCAGAAAGCCCAGGGCUAACUACGUGCCCAGCAGCCGGCGGUAAUACGUAGGUGGCCAGCGUUGUCCGGAUUUAUUGGGCGUAAAGCGAGCGCCGGCGGUUUCUUAAGUCUGAUGUGAAAGCCCCCGGGCUCAACCGGGGAGGGUCAUUGGAAACUGGGAGACUUGAGUGCAGAAGAGGAGAGUGGAAUUCCAUGUGUAGCGGUGAAAUGCGUAGAUAUAUGGAGGAACACCAGUGGCGAAGGCGGCUCUCUGGUCUGUAACUGACGCUGAGGCUCGAAAGCGUGGGGAGCAAACAGGAUUAGAUACCCUGGUAGUCCACGCCGUAAACGAUGAGUGCUAAGUGUUGGAGGGUUUCCGCCCUUCAGUGCUGCAGCAAACGCAUUAAGCACUCCGCCUGGGGAGUACGACCGCAAGGUUGAAACUCAAAGGAAUUGACGGGGGCCCGCACAAGCGGUGGAGCAUGUGGUUUAAUUCGAAGCAACGCGAAGAACCUUACCAGGUCUUGACAUCCUUUGACCACUCUAGAGAUAGAGCUUUCCCUUCGGGGACAAAGUGACAGGUGGUGCAUGGUUGUCGUCAGCUCGUGUCGUGAGAUGUUGGGUUAAGUCCCGCAACGAGCGCAACCCUUAUUGUUAGUUGCCAUCAUUUAGUUGGGCACUCUAGCGAGACUGCCGGUGACAAACCGGAGGAAGGUGGGGAUGACGUCAAAUCAUCAUGCCCCUUAUGACCUGGGCUACACACGUGCUACAAUGGGAAGUACAACGAGUCGCUAGACCGCGAGGUCAUGCAAAUCUCUUAAAGCUUCUCUCAGUUCGGAUUGCAGGCUGCAACUCGCCUGCAUGAAGCCGGAAUCGCUAGUAAUCGCGGAUCAGCACGCCGCGGUGAAUACGUUCCCGGGCCUUGUACACACCGCCCGUCACACCACGAGAGUUUGUAACACCCGAAGUCGGUGAGGUAACCUUUUUGGAGCCAGCCGCCUAAGGUGAUGAGGGUUGUU